rnacentral:lncRNA from 1 species
AGGCAUGUUUGGGGAACAUAGGAGAGUUUUGGCUGGGGAGAUUACAACUCAUAUUUUAAAGGAAUCAUCUGAUUGCGUUAUGAUGGAAUAACUGGAAUUAGACUUGCCCUUCUGAAGUAAACAACUAGAAAGCUGUACAACAGUCAUAAGUCAACUGUUUUCAAGCAUUGGAUAAAACAACACUGUGGUCUUUGCGGGAAGAAAAACACAUGAGGUAG